rnacentral:rRNA from 1 species
CAGUCGCCACGGUAACACGAAGAGUGCAAGCGUUAAUCGGAAUUACUGGGCGUAAAGCGUGCGUAGGCGGUUUGUUAAGUCUGCUGUGAAAUCCCCGGGCUCAACCUGGGAAUGGCAGUGGAUACUGGCAAGCUAGAGUGUGUCAGAGGAUGGUGGAAUUCCCGGUGUAGCGGUGAAAUGCGUAGAGAUCGGGAGGAACAUCAGUGGCGAAGGCGGCCAUCUGGGACAACACUGACGCUGAGGCACGAAAGCGUGGGGAGCGAACAGGAUUAGAUACCCCGGUAGUCCCUGUCUCUUAUAC